ensembl:lncRNA
GGGGGUAGUUUAAUGGAGGGUAGUUUAGUGGGGGGAGCUUUAGUGGAGGGUAGUUUAAUGGAGGGUAGUUUAGUGGAGGGUAGUUUAAUGGAGGGUAGUUUAAUGGAGGGUAGUUUAGUGGAGGGUAGUUUAGUGGAGGGUAGUAGGGUGGGGGGUAGUUUAGUGGAGGGUAGUUUAGUGGAGGGUAGUAGGGUCGGGGGUAGUUUAGUGGAGGGUAGUUUAAUGGAGGGUAGUUUAGUCGGGGUAGUUUAGUGGAGGGUAGUUUAAUGGAGGGUAGUUUAGUUGGGAUAGUUUAGUGGGGGGUAGUUUAGUGGAGGGUAGUUUAAUGGAGUGUAGUUUAAUGUAGGGUAGUUUAGUGGAGGGCAGAAAAUAAAGGGAGAGGCUCAGAGGAGGCAGGGAAGACAACGUUGGAGGGAGAGAGUAUUCCUGAGCUCAUAGCCCUCAUUUUUUGGGCCGUUGUAAACCUAUUCAUGGUCCAGGGUUUGGACACCCCUUUUAUAGAUGUGGAUCCAGUGGAAUGUAGGGGAUAGUAUCACGGUUCAGGAUAACAGGAUUUUGGUGGCAGGUAGCCUAGUGGUUAGAGUGUUGGACUGGUAAUCGAAAGGUUGCAAGAUCGAAUCCCCG